rnacentral:rRNA from 1 species
AUUGAACGCUGGCGGCAGGCUUAACACAUGCAAGUCGAGCGAGCGGCGGACGUGUGUGUUAUGUCUGGGAAACUGCCUGAUGGAGGGGGAUAACUACUGGACGCGGUAGCUUAUACCGCAUACCAUCAGAUGUGCCCAGAUGGGAUUCGCUAGUAGGUGGGGUAAUGGCUCACCUAGGCGACGAUCCCUAGCUGGUCUGAGAGGAUGACCAGCCACACUGGAACUGAGACACGGUCCAGACUCCUACGGGAGGCAGCAGUGGGGAAUAUUGCACAAUGGGCGCAAGCCUGAUGCAGCCAUGCCGCGUGUGUGAAGAAGGCCUUCGGGUUGUAAAGCACUUUCAGCGGGGAGGCGUUACUCGCAGAAGAAGCACCGGCUAACUCCGUGCCAGCAGCCGCGGUAAUAC